AUUGGACGCUGGCGGCAGGCCUAACACAUGCAAGUCGAACGGUAACAGGAAGAAGCUUGCUUCUUUGCUGACGAGUGGCGGACGGGUGAGUAAUGUCUGGGAAACUGCCUGAUGGAGGGGGAUAACUACUGGAAACGGUAGCUAAUACCGCAUAACGUCGCAAGACCAAAAAGGGGGACCUUCGGGCCUCUUGCCAUCGGAUGUGCCCAGAUGGGAUUAGCUAGUAGGUGGGGUAACGGCUCACCUAGGCGACGAUCCCUAGCUGGUCUGAGAGGAUGACCAGCCACACUGGAACUGAGACACGGUCCAGACUCCUACGGGAGGCAGCAGUGGGGAAUAUUGCACAAUGGGCGCAAGCCUGAUGCAGCCAUGCCGCGUGUAUGAAGAAGGCCUUCGGGUUGUAAAGUACUUUCAGCGGGGAGGAAGGGAGUAAAGUUAAUACCUUUGCUCAUUGACGUUACCCGCAGAAGAAGCACCGGCUAACUCCGUG
rnacentral:rRNA from 1 species